rnacentral:rRNA from 1 species
AGUGAACGCUGGCGGUAGGCCUAACACAUGCAAGUCGAACGGCAGCACAGUAAGAGCUUGCUCUUACGGGUGGCGAGUGGCGGACGGGUGAGGAAUACAUCGGAAUCUACUUUUUCGUGGGGGAUAACGUAGGGAAACUUACGCUAAUACCGCAUACGACCUACGGGUGAAAUCAGGGGAUCUUCGGACCUUGCGCGAUUGAAUGAGCCGAUGUCGGAUUAGCUAGUUGGCGGGGUAAAGGCCCACCAAGGCGACGAUCCGUAGCUGGUCUGAGAGGAUGAUCAGCCACACUGGAACUGAGACACGGUCCAGACUCCUACGGGAGGCAGCAGUGGGGAAUAUUGGACAAUGGGCGCAAGCCUGAUCCAGCCAUGCCGCGUGUGUGAAGAAGGCCUUCGGAUUGUAAAGCCCUUUUGUUGGGAAAGAAAAGCAGCAGGUUAAUACCCCGCUGUUCUGACGGUACCCAAAGAAUAAGCACCGGCUAACUUCGUG